UAGGGAAUCUUCGGCAAUGGGGGGAACCCUGACGGAGCAACGCCGCGUGAGUGAAGAAGGAUUUCGGUUCGUAAAACUCUGUUGUUAGAGAAGAACAGCGCAUAGAGUAACUGUUAUGCGUGUGACGGUAUCUAACCAGAAAGCCACGGCUAACUACGUGCCAGCAGCCGCGGUAAUACGUAGGUGGCAAGCGUUGUCCGGAUUUAUUGGGCGUAAAGCGAGCGCAGGCGGUCAAUUAAGUCUGAUGUGAAAGCCCCCGGCUAAACCGGGGAGGGUCAUUGGAAACUGGUUGACUUGAGUGCAGAAGAGGAGAGUGGAAUUCCAUGUGUAGCGGUGAAAUGCGUAGAUAUAUGGAGGAACACCAGUGGCGAAGGCGACUCUCUGGUCUGUAACUGACGCUGAGGCUCGAAAGCGUGGGUAGCAAACAGG
rnacentral:rRNA from 1 species